GCGAGAUUUCCUCGCGCCGCGCAUCACACGCAGGAGCGUCUAUGGAGCAGUGAGAGCGGGCGGGAGACGGACCAACCGAACCUGGCGCGGACUGUAGCAGGAGACACGGGGUGAGAGAGGGUAACCUGCCUGUGUCGUCUUUGCGGUGUGUCUGAGCGCGGUCCCCGGGGCGUGCUUCUCCGAUUAUCCCAUCCAUCCAUCCAUGCUCCAUUCGAGCAUUUAAGGAGGACGCGCACGUACUCAGGGAGGGGAGGGAAGCCCACUGGUCUCCCUACAGACUCCAGCGCCAGGCUGAGUCACUAUCGAGGAGUGGGAAGAUCUAGAGAGACAGAGGGAGACGGCAUCACGGAGAGCACAAGAGAGAAAAGCAACGGAAGGAGGGGAAAACCGCUACACAACGCCUUUGAGAGCGAAGCGAGAGAGAGAGGCAGCCAACGAGAACGACGUAAAGAGAGAGACAGAGCGCAGCAGUGAGGGAGGGAGAGAGACGCUGAGGCUGGGAGAGCUGACCCCCCUCCCUUCUCCUCUCCUCUCCUGUCCUCUCCUCUCCUCCUUCCCCCCCCUCCUCACUCCUUCAGGAGCUGGUGUGUAGGAGCGGCGAGUACAGUGUGACUGAGGCAACAUGAGCGAUGUCACCAUCGUUAAGGAAGGCUGGGUCCAGAAGAGAGGUAAGUAGCUUGUCUCUGCCUGCGUCUUGGUCAACUAGCCGGGUCGAGAAAGACCUUGCGUACGCGUGUGCCUCCAUGGACGGCUCCCUCCGUCAUGGGCGGGCCACGGCGUGGCUUUAGUCUGUGUCUGUGGAAGCCGGCGUGUGGGUGUGCCUCUUUGCGCGCGUGUUCGAGAGCUGUGUUUAGUGCUAGUGUGGCGCUUCAGAGAACGUGCAUGCGUGUUUGAGUGUGUCUGCCGGAGGAGCAACUGCAUUCAGACUGGUAUCCAUCAUUUCUCACUGCACUGCUCUGACGUGUCGGGCUGCUACGUUUGACGGGUUUUCUACAAAUGCUUGCACUCAUUCUGAUGCAUAAUGCUCUGUUUUGAUUAGAUUAUGGUUUGAUGAUUUUAUUUGAUCAUUAUGUCUGGAAAACAAGUUAUCUUUUAGCCUUUUUUGGUUAGUAUGGACUGCAAGGGCUGUUGUGUACAAUUAAGCGCACUCAAAGUUAUUAUAAGUCAAAGUUAUUUGACAUCCAUAUGGGAAGCCGCUCUAGGUGUCAUCAUGGGACGUAGUGACUAGGGUACUUCAUUCAGGUUGUCUUGCUUUUCCUUUCUGUAUCAUUGUUGCUUGUUGAGGCAUUCAAGUGCCUCUAUGCUUGUACCUUCCCUAUAUGUGUAUCCAUAAGUGUGCAUACUUAGUAAAGAGGCGUUCAUGCUGACAGAAAUGUGCAGCGACCAAAAGUCACUCGUUUUCAAUGAAAGUUGGUGAUUUGGCGACACAAGUGAUUGUGAAAAUGUAA